ACAGACAUAAAAUAGAAUUAAAUCAUUGUAGUACAAGUAAAAAAAUUACGGCAACAAUAAACGUGAUGCUAGCUCUAGCAGGAUAAAAGUCUAUGCCUGUGUAUUUAUUAAUGAUUAACUGUUCUACUCCAAUGAUGCUUUAGUGGUUAACAGUAUCAUAUGAUCAGCGAUCAUAGGAGCAACUGUUUUGAUGUUUCACCCGAGGCACAAGCUACCGUCAGUGACACCGGGAACAGCACGCAUCCCCACAAGUCAAAGGUUGAGUGCUGCUGGGCGUUAAUCAUCCAUGGCCAUGACUCACUGAUGCUAACAAGGCACUGUUUUUCAUCAAAGCAGAAUUUUAAAAGUCAUUCGACCUUUCUUUGUGGAGUCUUGUGGAAUAAGCUCAGGUGAUUUAAAGCGGAAAUGUAGGGCCGCGUUACAGCUGGCUCCCAAUCCCUGACAACCUUUGGCGGGGAGAUUCCGCCCCUUUGCCAUGUCUGAGUCUCCGUGCGGCGGCGAUAACGCUGUCAUCUCGCACACCGAUCAUAAGUCACUGGCAAACGAGCACACAGAUCCUCCGUGGCGAGACAGAACCCUCAGCGGGCCUACAGGGAAGCGAGCAGCAGGCAAACAAUGCGUUGGAAAAUGGAGUGCCUCUGCCUGCUCGUCCAUGCACGCCCUCCUCGCCUGCUCGUACGUCCAGACGCCACAAGAGGCGAGAUAACAGCAGGCCCUCCUCGCCUACUCCACUUCGACAAGGACUCGGCAAGGUGAGCGGCCGCAGACGGAGGAGACAAACCAGGUAAAAUAAAAUAAAAAGAAGUAGCUGCCUUUAAACGGUAAUUGCGCCCCUUUUCCCCCCCGAGCGUGCUCGCAGGUAUAUAAAGGAGAUUUACAGGCGGCGGCGGUGCAACAAAUCAGACGGCCCUCUGAGAAACACUCGUGCUAUGAAAUUGUUUAAUCUCAUCAAGUUCUGCCUUCUUCACUGCAGCCCAUAAAUCACAAAGUCUUUGUUGUCAUAGAGCACCCGAGGAAGGCAAUGGCUGCUCUGUAUAUUCAGAUAUGCACAUACACGACUGUGCACAAGAAGUUUUCAAGUGCUUUUAUGCAUCAGUCGAAGGGAUGCGUAUGUGACUACAGUACAAUUCCAAAGUAGUCUUUGAGCAGAAUUCCAGUACGUGAUGCAGUCUGUGGCUGACAUUAUAACCUAAUUCUUGAAGCACAACGAUUCAAAAGUCGUGCACUCUAUUUUGCCUCAGUUGCUUCAAGACAUCGCUAUCUCGAUAAAUCAUAUGGGCCGCAUAGGACACAAUAGAACAUUUGUGUUGUUCAUCAUUCUCCACGAACCAGGAAGUAGCUUGCUAAAUGCUAACAAACCAACAGAAUGAACUUAUGUAAUGACACGAAAUUGACAAUGUGCUAACCUGGUGAAAAUUGAGGAGUAUUGCGAGUUCAACCGUAAAACGUCAGAUGACUACAAACGCAAUGUAUGUCUUUUUUGCAGUACGUACGGAGCAGCCGCUACAUCCCCAAACUCUCCAUAUUAGCCGCGGUGCAGCUGGCGGAACACGAGCGUCCUGAUGGAUAUCUCAUUUCCUGCGCUCGGCAUCCGACGCCAGCAAAUUAUUACUGCAUAAAUUUCAUGUCAACAGAAACGGUCAAUUAAUUAAGUUAAAAAUGCACUCAUGAUGGCGUCUACACGCCGACAAGGAGAGCCGGGGGGCAAUUUUCCACUCGGUGAAUUUACUGCAGGGGUCACCGUAAUGGAGGAUUUUAAACUUUGUCAUAAAGUGGCAGACAGGCCAAUGUCUACACAGAAGCCGCCUAACCCGUGACAUAUUUGCAUAAAGCAUAUUUAUGUGAAAACGCUAGAGGACGGCGGCAAGGGGGCGAGGGGAUAAAGUUUACAGCCGGGAACAAAACCUCUGGCUCUCGAGUAUUUCACGCGUCCGGGUAGCGAUGACGGUAGCACCUUUUGCCAUUUUAAGAUGUGCGAAAAUGUACACGUUUAACCGCGCUUGCGACGGCGAUGAAUUAUUCAUCGUGUACGAGAGGCUCGGUUGUUUGUGGGGGUGCUUGUUUAUUCAGCUUAGGCCGUUUAUCAGGCGGGCCAAGAUCCCACGGCGGGGAUGAGCCUCAAGAUUUAUCUGCGUUCCGACUCCAAAACAGAUAAAUCAAAGGGUGUAAUCACGCCGCCGCUGGCCUACAUGUGACCCCGCUGAACUAAUGACAUCGGGAUAUCUAAACCCCCUUUCCUGUUCCUGGGUACCGCCCUUAACUCGGGCCCACCCCCGCAACCUCUCUGCUGUCAGAGCUAAAGACAGACACUGAGAGAGGGAAGGGAAAAAAAAAAAAACAUGUCCCUUUGUCCUGUUUACACGCCGCACUAAAAAUAACAGCGUCAGAACAAAGCGGCAGAGGCUACUGUAUAACAAUGUUGGCUCAAACAAUAGCGGCCGGUAUUGAUUCCAAGUACACACGGUUCAUGAGCUACGGCUCUUCCCAGUGCGAGAGUCUCCUCCCGCCUCCAUCCCCUAUCGGAGCACCGGCUUCUGAUUUAUCAUGUCUUCUGCUAGCGGGCUGUCCGCUGAUUAAGCCAGCGGAACUUUGUUUCACUCUCCCCUCUCUUUAAUCUGUCUCUUAGCCAGAUAAAUUAGCCAGCGCCAUGCCAGCUCCCGCUCUCUUUACCUCCCUCCAUCCCUUCUCCCGCUUUAUCUCCUCUGUCUGUCACAGCGUGCCGAGAGAGCAGACACAUCUGCAGGAGAUACACUAACACACAUUUAGCCCAACCUCUGUGUGUGUGUGUGUGUGUGUGUGUUUUUCCUCCCUUUUUCUCCCCUUGACAACGUCCUGUCAAACAAUCUCCCUUCCUGGACGGCCUCACACGCUUUGUUGCGAGCUUGUAAAUCAGCGACUAUUUACGAGCCGCAAUCCCUAUUCUUAGUCGUUUAAUGGCGACACGUUUGCGGGUGAAUUAAAGCGGGUUUUAUUCACCAGGCCGUGGGCCAAGGGGAGGCCUGACUGCUACACACACACAUACAUACAUACAUACACACAUACGCACACACACACACUCUUCUCCACUCUCGCCCCCGGUGGUAAAUCACACUCAUUGUCGCAGUGCUAAGCUAGUGUGCGUCACUGAGGGGGUGAGCAGGAAGCACUGGGCAUAAUUCUGCCCAUCAGUUAAAUUUAUAGUUUCGGUAGCUUUGUAAUCUCAGAGCCAUAAAUUCGAGCGGUUGACAGGCAGGAAUUUGGAGUCAUCCGGGUUCUCGGUGGCUGCGGCCCUUAUUUCCAUCUCUACUUGGGCCUUUAAAAAAAAAAAAGGUCAAAUGUUUUAGAAUCUUUUGGUUCAUGUUCAAAUUGUUUCGGAUAAGGUUGACAACAUGGCAAAAGUGUCAAAUAAAUAAACGUCCGUAAACUAAGACCUCAUAAACGAGGUCUUAGUUUAUGUAUAAUUAUAAAGCUUUCAACAUCUGCUUUAGAGUUAGUGCACUUGGCUGUGGCAAACAGCUUAAACACAAGUUUAAGCCCUGACAAGAUGUAAACAUCAUAAAUAUAUUUACUUGCAGUGCUGUUUUGGUUAGCAACAGAGUUCAAGGAUAACUCUAAUGUCUGAAAGUGAACAUUAUCAAUAAUUACAGUUACUACAGCCAGAUUGCAAGGCACAAAUGAGUCUUGUAGCUUCCAGUAAAAUAAACGUGGAUGCACACAACAGUUAGGCAAUAUCGCUUUUUUUUUUCCCCCACUGGGAAAAGGCACAAGUCUAUUUGAGGGAGGCCUUCAUUUAUUCAUUCAUGCAAAAUAAAUCAUGCACCUGAAGACUUAAUUAGGGCAUGACAUCAAUUAGAAGGACAGCCACCACUUCAUGUUUUCCAACAAGCUAGCUUACAGUUGUCUUUUACUCGACAUUAACAUUUAAACGUCAUAAUGUAAGCGGUGUGAGCAAAGCAAAGCAAUGGCUUUAUAAAACAUGCAUGGUGGGAGACGCACGGGCCUCCUUUGAGGCUUUAACCUAGCAGAGGUUUACAAGAAGCUAGCUCGCCGGAUCCAAUUGUGUUUAGGUUAAACGGUGAAGAGGAGCCCACAAUGAACCACUUCUCCCUUCAACGCGUCACAUUUACAUAUCACUAGCUCGCUAGCUUGAUAUGUAAACGCAUUCCAUCAGAGGACCGACUAUGAGAGUCCGCCCCGUGUAUAGCUCACACACGUUAAACAAAGAGACGGGAAGCCGAAAGAGACAUCGUAUGUCAUCACCCAAGAGAGAUAAUGGUAUUGUUAUACAUGCUUGAUCACAGACACUCUCACGGUAUCUCGCACUCUGUUUCAAUCACUCUUUGUCUCUCUAUCGCCCUCUCUCUCUUUCUAAGUGAAGAUACCAGCACACUUCAGUAGGAUAGCUCCUCUUCUCGUUCAAGGCCUAGCAUCUCAAUAGGGUUUUUUUUUUUUUUUAAUUGGAGCACUUCAAUUUGCAAGCCUAGCUGGAAGGCAGCUCCUCCUGAUAUGUUAAUUGCAGGGUACUUAAGCGCUAAAAGAUUAACAUAAAACCUUUUGGAAACAAGCUAAUAGUUUAUGAUAAUUUGCGCGUGGCCUUUUGUCUGUCUGUCAUUACGUUGCCUCAGGCGGCAAUUUUAUCAAGCGGCUGUAAAAUAUCAUUUAAACAAGUUCACGUAACGGCGGAUAAUCGCUAUCAUUCAAUUGGGCAACAAUGGCGCUAUUAGCAAUAUGAAACCAUAAUUAAAGUAUUUGAUUUUUUUUAGGAAGCUAUUCAUAAUGUUGUGCAAAUGAUGACACAGAGGCAACGCGCCCCAGUGAAAGCACCAUCACCGGGGCAAUUAAGAGGAAGUCACUCGGUUAUCAAAGCUGAUUGAAGCUUUUCGAUUGGCAGGCCAAUGUACGCUCAGGUAUUAGAUUUCGACACAGCUGAAGAAUUGGAAUUUUGUCUGUUUAGCAGAAGACAAGGGCUUUUCAUUUGGGCUGAUUGUCAGGAGGAUAGAUGGGAAGCUAGCCAGUGGCAUCUACUCCUACACUAUCUACUCCGAGACAUGCUUUUCAUUUUUUAGAUACCUAAACCUGGACUCGUAUGAAAAAUCAUCUUGCUCUUGUGCAAUAAAUAGCAAAACAAAAGCGACUAAAUCCAUAAUACACAUUGAAAUUCAAGUCUUUAGGAUUGUUCCUAUGAAAGUAGCUUAUGGUUCGUUUCAUAUUAAAGUUGACUAUUAUCCCAAUAUAACAAAGCCAUUUCCAUCUAAUGUCAAUAGAAAUGUUAAAGUAAGAGUGUACAUGAAGUUUGACAAGUGACACACUUCACCCCCUUUACCCCCUUCUCAUGAAUAAUAGAAAAAGUCCUUUCAGCAAACAGUCAAAUAGCUGCUCAUUCAUCUGCAUACCUGCAGCCUUGCAAAAAUGAUUGGCCUGCCAUUACGGCGAGUAGCAGGAUAAAAAAGAAAUGUUCCCCAAACAAUUUGCCUCAAAAUGAGACAGGAAUGAUUCUGUUCUUUUCAACGGCGCAGACAGGCCAGUGUGCAUAAUGAUGUUAGCGUAAUGGGGUGACAGAUAGACUGGGAGAGCAUGACAUUAGCAUGAGAAACGCUCCAGUGAGCAGCCGCUCAACUGUGGUCUCAGAGGGCCCCCUGAGACGCGCUCGCUCGUUUGUCUCGCGCCCGCUACCAGCCUGACAAAUGAAGACACGCCGCGUCUUAUGCAGAGCGAUAUAGCAUUCCACUUUAGCCAGCCCAUGACUUUAAUGACGGGGAGGAAAAACCGGCUUGUGCAAUAUAAAAGCUCGCUAUCUCUUGUCUUAUUAGGGAUGAAUCACCUCAAGAAAGCACACACUGUUUAUGCCUUUGGGAGAUGCCAUGGGAGCAUAAAUCUAAAAAUGCACCUUAAUCAAUGAGACAAUUUAAAUUAAGGAGUUGAUGUUAUUUUUUGCUGCUCUAGGGCUCCCCCUACAGGUAUGGAGAGUAAUUUCUCAUUAAGCCAAAUAUAAAUGAAUCGUGUUAGAGCCCUGAACAGAAAGACUGACUGAACACAAAUCUAGAUAGAAAAUGAGAUUUAAAAUGAUAUUCAGUGCAUUUCUUAAAAAUAUUUGAAUAUUUUAUUAUUCUGUGUUUAUAGUGUCAGCUACGAAUAUGAUGUUUUUAGUUAUAUUCAAUGU